UACGUAGGUGGCAAGCGUUGUCCGGAUUCACUGGGCGUAAAGGGUGCGCAGGCGGUCGUGUGUGUCAGGUGUGAAAUCCCGGAGCUUAACUCCGGAACUGCGCCUGAAACUACACGACUAGAGCAUUGGAGAGGGAAGUGGAAUUCAUGGUGUAGCAGUGAAAUGCGUAGAUAUCAUGAGGAACACCAGAGGCGAAGGCGACUUCCUGGACAAUUGCUGACGCUCAGGCACGAAAGCAUGGGGAGCAAAAGGG
rnacentral:rRNA from 1 species